rnacentral:rRNA from 1 species
GAGGGGCUCGCGGCCUAUCAGCUAGUUGGUGAGGUAACGGCUCACCAAGGCGAUGACGGGUAGCUGGUCUGAGAGGACGACCAGCCACACGGGAACUGAGACACGGUCCCGACUCCUACGGGAGGCAGCAGUGGGGAAUUUUCCGCAAUGGGCGAAAGCCUGACGGAGUGACGCCGCGUGGGGGACGAAGGCCUUCGGGUCGUAAACCCCUGUCAGAGGGAAAGAAGGGUGUCGGCGUGAACAACGCCGGCAUCUGACGGUACCUUCAGAGGAAGCCCCGGCCAACUCUGUGCCAGCAGCCGCGGUAAGACAGAGGGGGCAAGCGUUGCUCGGAAUCACUGGGCGUAAAGGGCGCGUAGGCGGGAUGGCAAGUCGGUCGUGAAAUCCUUCGGCUCAACCGAAGAACGUCGGCCGAUACUGCCGUUCUUGAGGGAUGCAGGGGAGACUGGAAUUCCCGGUGUAGCGGUGAAAUGUGUAGAGAUCGGGAGG